UGAUCCUGCCAGUAGUCAUAUGCUUGCUCAAAGAUUAAGCCAUGCAUGUCUAAGUAUAAGCAAUUAUACAGCGAAACUGCGAAUGGCUCAUUAUAUAAGUUAUCGUUUAUUUGAUAGUGCCUUACUACUUGGAUAACCGUGGUAAUUCUAGAGCUAAUACAUGCGUCAAGCCCCGACUCACGAAGGGGUGUAUUUAUUAGAUUCAAAGCCAACCGUGUAAAAAGCGUACCUUGGUGAUUCAUAAUAACUUGUCGAACCGCACGCCCUUGAGGCAGCGGUGAUUCAUUCAAAUUUCUGCCCUAUCAACUUUCGAUGGUAGGAUAGUGGCCUACCAUGGUUUCAACGGGUAACGGGGAAUAAGGGUUCGAUUCCGGAGAGGGAGCCUGAGAAACGGCUACCACAUCCAAGGAAGGCAGCAGGCGCGCAAAUUACCCAAUCCUAAUUCAGGGAGGUAGUGACAAUAAAUAACGAUACAGGGCCCAUUCGGGUCUUGUAAUUGGAAUGAGUACAAUGUAAAUACCUUAACGAGGAACAAUUGGAGGGCAAGUC
rnacentral:rRNA from 1 species